GCCAGGUGUGGUGGCGCACACCUGUAAUCCCAGCUACUUGGGAGACUGAGGCAGGAGACUCGCUUGAACCUGGGAGGCGGAGGUUGCAGUGAGCUGAGAUCUUGCCACUGCACUCCAGCCUGGGUGACAGAGCGAGACUCUGUCUCAA
rnacentral:SRP_RNA from 1 species